rnacentral:rRNA from 1 species
AAGAAAUACGUUCAGCACUAAGUCACUUUACAUAUAUUAUUGUAAAUGUGAGAUGCAGUGUAUGGAAUAUUCAAAUCUAAUAUGAGAAAUUAUUGAUUUAAGUCCUUCUUAAAUGAGGCCAUUUACCCAAAGAGGGUGGUAGGCCCGUAUAACGAUAAUGAUUAUUAGUGAAUAUUUCCAAAGAGUCGUGUUGCUUGAUAGUGCAGCACUAAGUGGGUGGUAAACUCCAUCUAAAACUAAAUAUAACCAUGAGACCGAUAGUAAACAAGUACCGUGAGGGAAAGUUGAAAAGAACUCUGAAUAGAGAGUUAAAUAGUACGUGAAACUGCUUAGAGGUUAAGCCCGAUGAAUCUGAAUAUCCAAUAAUGGGAAAUUCAUCAUUAUGAUUAUAAUAUUUUAUGAAUGAGUCUUCUUUGUUCAUUUUUAUGAUGAAUAAAGGGGGUAAUAAUUUUAUAAAUAUAUUGUAAUAAUAGUGUGCAUUUUUCCCAUUUAAAGGACAUUGUAAUCUAUUAAUAAAURAUAUGUAAAAAUUUAUCAUAAGGUUUAUGGUAUUAUAAUAAUGUUUAAAUAUAUACUUAAUUAUAUUUCUUAUGAAUAUGAUUAUAUUGUUUAAAUGCCAUUAACUUGAUAAAAUAUUGAUAGAUUAAAAUAAUAUGGUGCCUUUAAAUAUGAGAAAUUAUUUUAAUAUAGUGUAUAAGAUGUAUAAUAUUAUUAGGAGGACGCUUCUUUUUUAAUUUUCCUUUUCUUUUUUUAAGAAAGGGAGAAGAGGAAAGUUGUGUUUAUAUCUCUUAAUAUAUAUAUAUAUACUUAUACAUGAUUUAUUAUGCACUUAUAAAGAAAAAUUAUAUGAUUUACAAUGCGAAAGAUUCAGAAUACCUUCGGGACCCGUCUUGAAACACGGACCAAGGAGUCUAACAUAUAUGCAAGUUAUUGGGAAUUUAUAUAUUAAUUAUAAAUAAUGAAUAAACCUAAUAGCGCAAUUAACAUAACGAAUAAAUGAAAUAUUAGAUGGGAUUAAUUUUUAAUGUAUAAAAAUUAAAGUAUAUUAUUAAUUCAAUCCCGGGGCGUUCUAUAUAGUUAUGUAUAUUGAAAUAUUAUUUCUGUAUACCUCUAACUGGAGCGUACCUUGAGCAUAUAUGCUGUGACCCGAAAGAUGGUGAACUAUACUUGAUCAGGUUGAAGUCAGGGGAAACCCUGAUGGAGGACCGAAGCAGUUCUGACGUGCAAAUCGAUUGUCAGAAUUGAGUAUAGGGGCGAAAGACUAAUCGAACCAUCUAGUAGCUGGUUCCCUCCGAAGUUUCCCGCAGGAUAGCUGGUGCAUUUUAUAAUUAUAAAAAGUAAUCUUAUCUGGUAAAGCGAAUGAUUAGAGGCCUUAGGGUCGAAACGAUUUUAACCUAUUCUCAAACUUUAAAUGGGUAAGAACCACACCUUUCUUGAAAUGAAGGUGUUAUAUAUAUAUAUAAAUGGUUAUGAUAUAAUGUGCCCAGUGGGCCACUUUUGGUAAGCAGAACUGGCGCUGUGGGAUGAACCAAACGUAAUGUUACGGUGCCCAAAUUAAUAACUCAUACAGAUACCAUGAAAGGCGUUGGUUGCUUAAAACAGCAGGACGGUGGACAUGGAAGUCGUAAUCCGCUAAGGAGUGUGUAACAACUCACCUGCCGAAGCAACUAGCCCUUAAAAUGGAUGGCGCUUAAGUUAUAUACCUAUACAUUACCGCUAAAGUAAAUGAUUUAUUCUAUUUAAAAAUUUUUUUGAAUAGAUAAAUUUUGAAACUUUAGUGAGUAGGAGGGUACGAUGGUGUGCAUAGAAGUGUUUUGGCGUAAGCCCUGCAUUGGAGCCCGCCAUUGGCACAGAUCUUGGUGGUAGUAGCAAAUAAUCGAAUGAGACCUUGGAGGACUGAAGUGGAGAAGGGUUUCGUGUGAACAGUGGUUGAUCACGAGUUAGUCGGUCCUAAGUUUAAAGCGAAAGCUGAAAAUUUUCAAGUUAAAAAUGAAUAAUAAUAAAUGAAUAAAAAUGAAAUUGAUUGAUACACUUGAAAAUGAAUUAAACGAAAGGGAAUACGGUUCCAAUUCCGUAACCUGUUGAGUAUCCGUUUGUUUAUUAAAUGUGGGCCAUUGUGCUCAUCCUGGUAACAGGAACGACCAUAAAGAAGCCGUCGAGAGGUAUCGGAAGAGUUUUCUUUUCUGUUUUAUAGUCGUACUACCAUGGAAGUCUUUCGAAGAGAGAUAUGGUAGAUGGACUAGAAGAGCAUGACAUUUACUGUUGUGUCGAUAUUUUCUCCUCGGACCUUGAAAAUUUAUGGUGGGGUCACGCAAACUUCUCAAUAGGCCGUACCAAUAUCCGCAGCUGGUCUCCAAGGUGAAGAGUCUCUAGUG